AGCCUGACGGAGCAACGCCGCGUGAGUGAUGAAGGUCUUCGGAUCGUAAAACUCUGUUAUCAGGGAAGAACAAAUGUGUAAGUAACUGUGCACAUCUUGACGGUACCUGAUCAGAAAGCCACGGCUAACUACGUGCCAGCAGCCGCGGUAAUACGUAGGUGGCAAGCGUUAUCCGGAAUUAUUGGGCGUAAAGCGCGCGUAGGCGGUUUUUUAAGUCUGAUGUGAAAGCCCACGGCUCAACCGUGGAGGGUCAUUGGAAACUGGAAAACUUGAGUGCAGAAGAGGAAAGUGGAAUUCCAUGUGUAGCGGUGAAAUGCGCAGAGAUAUGGAGGAACACCAGUGGCGAAGGCGACUUUCUGGUCUGUAACUGACGCUGAUGUGCGAAAGCGUGGGGAUCAAACAGGAUUAGAUACCCUGGUAGUCCACGCCGUAAACGAUGAGUGCUAAGUGUUAGGGGGUUUCCGCCCCUUAGUGCUGCAGCUAACGCAUUAAGCACUCCGCCUGGG
rnacentral:rRNA from 1 species